GUGAAUGUAGUUUAAUGGUAAAACAUCUGCCUAGGGAAUAGAUAAUAUGAGUUCAAAUCUCAUCAUUCACU
rnacentral:tRNA from 1 species